UCAGGACGAACGCUGGCGGCGUGCCUAAUACAUGCAAGUCGAACGAACUCUGGUAUUGAUUGGUGCUUGCAUCAUGAUUUACAUUUGAGUGAGUGGCGAACUGGUGAGUAACACGUGGGAAACCUGCCCAGAAGCGGGGGAUAACACCUGGAAACAGAUGCUAAUACCGCAUAACAACUUGGACCGCAUGGUCCGAGUUUGAAAGAUGGCUUCGGCUAUCACUUUUGGAUGGUCCCGCGGCGUAUUAGCUAGAUGGUGGGGUAACGGCUCACCAUGGCAAUGAUACGUAGCCGACCUGAGAGGGUAAUCGGCCACAUUGGGACUGAGACACGGCCCAAACUCCUACGGGAGGCAGCAGUAGGGAAUCUUCCACAAUGGACGAAAGUCUGAUGGAGCAACGCCGCGUGAGUGAAGAAGGGUUUCGGCUCGUAAAACUCUGUUGUUAAAGAAGAACAUAUCUGAGAGUAACUGUUCAGGUAUGACGGUAU
rnacentral:rRNA from 2 species